GGAAGCACAGUGGCCAUGGAGAGUUAAGGAUAGAAAGACAGUAUGCUUGGCAAAGCAGGCUGAUAAUUAGGAUGCCGAUUUAUCUCUGACAGGUCUGUCUCAUGGACUCUGUAGUCAAAAGAAGCAACUCUGGGAAGAACGGGGAAUGUCUCAGACCAGCAGGAGCUCCCAUCUCACUCGGGACUGACUGUUUCUCAAUAGGCAGUUUUUCAAAAUCCUCUGGAAUCACUUUGAUCCAGAUUAUUCACACUGCGUAAACUACUGGCCCGUCAACAGCUAUCUUGUCUCAGUCACCAAAGUAAUUCUUCAGUACCAAGGCCCAAAUGUUCAACUCGUCUUUACACACCCAUAAUCACAGAGCAGAAGAGCGGUAAUUCCAGCGUUUCUGACAUGGCGGAGAGGAGCCAGGAAACACUUCCUUAAAGUGAAAGCAAACAGUCCAACCCACUCCUUCUGGAAAAUCCUCUGGACUCCUGGAAAUCACUCCUUCCUCGCGGAGUCAACUUUAACCCUCUCCUGCAAGCAGAUAAGAAAAUGCAUCUUGCAAGUGAAGAGGAACCAACUGUAAUCCUCAAUUAUCUCCCCUCUCCGCAUCCACCGAACAGCCAGGCUAACUUCUGAUCUUUACUAGAAAGCUGCGUCAAGAGAGUAGAAGCAGAAGCGGAACUGAAAGAUUAAAAUCGCUCUGUGUCAAAGUAAAAAGCAGACUAUGGGAUGGGAGGCCUGAAGGGAGUGGGGAGUGAGAACGAGAGCCGGUAACAGAAUACAUCGGGAAAGCCGAAGUGGGACUG